UGUGCCCUACGGGGGGCAGCAGUGGGGAAUAUUGCACAAUGGGGGAAACCCUGAUGCAGCGACGCCGCGUGAGUGAAGAAGUAUUUCGGGUUGUAAAGCUCUGUCUUCAGGGACGAUAAUGACGGUACCUGAGGAGGAAGCCACGGCUAACUACGUGCCAGCAGCCGCGGUAAUACGUAGGUGGCGAGCGUUGUCCGGAUUUACUGGGCGUAAAGGGAGCGUAGGCGGACUUUUAAGUGAGAUGUGAAAUACUCGGGCUCAACUUGAGUGCUGCAUUUCAAACUGGAAGUCUAGAGUGCAGGAGG
rnacentral:rRNA from 1 species